UUGAACGCUGGCGGCAUGCUUUACACAUGCAAGUCGAACGGCAGCGGGGGCUUCGGCCCGCCGGCGAGUGGCGAACGGGUGAGUAAUGCAUCGGAACGUACCCAGUCGUGGGGGAUAACUACGCGAAAGCGUAGCUAACACCGCAUACGCCCUGAGGGGGAAAGCGGGGGACCUUCGGGCCUCGCGCGGUUGGAGCGGCUGAUGUCGGAUUAGCUAGUUGGUGGGGUAAAGGCCUACCAAGGCGACGAUCCGUAGCUGGUCUGAGAGGAUGAUCAGCCACACUGGGACUGAGACACGGCCCAGACUCCUACGGGAGGCAGCAGUGGGGAAUUUUGGACAAUGGGCGCAAGCCUGAUCCAGCCAUGCCGCGUGAGUGAAGAAGGCCUUCGGGUUGUAAAGCUCUUUCGGCAGGAACGAAACGGUGGGGUCUAAUACGCCUUACUAAUGACGGUACCUGAAGAAGAAGCACCGGCUAACUACGU
rnacentral:rRNA from 1 species